rnacentral:rRNA from 1 species
UACGGAGGGGGCUAGCGUUGUUCGGAAUUACUGGGCGUAAAGCGCGCGUAGGCGGACCUGCAAGUCGGGGGUGAAAGCCCGAGGCUCAACCUCGGAACUGCCUUCGAUACUGCGGGUCUCGAGUCCGGGAGAGGUGAGUGGAAUUCCUAGUGUAGAGGUGAAAUUCGUAGAUAUUGGGAAGAACACCAGUGGCGAAGGCGGCUCACUGGCCCGUAACUGACGCUGAGGUGCGAAAGCGUGGGGAGCAAACAGG